CUUACCUACGGGAGGCAGCAGUGGGGAAUAUUGGGCAAUGGGCGCAAGCCUGACCCAGCAACGCCGCGUGAAGGAAGAAGGCUUUCGGGUUGUAAACUUCUUUUAAGAGGGAAGAGCAGAAGACGGUACCUCUUGAAUAAGCCACGGCUAACUACGUGCCAGCAGCCGCGGUAAUACGUAGGGGGCAAGCGUUAUCCGGAUUUACUGGGUGUAAAGGGAGCGUAGACGGCUGAGCAAGUCAGAAGUGAAAGCCCGGGGCUCAACCCCGGGACUGCUUUUGAAACUGCGGAGCUGGAGUGCAGGAG
rnacentral:rRNA from 1 species